rnacentral:misc_RNA from 1 species
AGGAGGACGCCGAAGGUGGGGCUAAUGACUGGGGUGAAGUCGUAACAAGGUAGCCGUACCGGAAGGUGCGGCUGGAUCACCUCCUAACAGGGAGACAACAAAAUGUUAAAUAUUAAUUUUGUCACCUUAGGUCGAUCGGUAUCUCACAUUCUUAAUUUCUUAAGGAUUUUAUUUCCUAAGUUUUUUCUAGGUCACACCCAUUACUUUUCCUGGGCCAUUAGCUCAGGUGGUUAGAGCGCACCCCUGAUAAGGGUGAGGUCCCUGGUUCAAGUCCAGGAUGGCCCAUAUCUCUAUGUUGGGGGUAUAGCUCAGUUGGUAGAGCGCCUGCUUUGCAAGCAGGAUGUCAGCGGUUCGAGUCCGCUUACCUCCACUGAUUACCACCUCUUCCAUAAUGCAUAUAGGAAAAUGUUUUGAGUUGUGAUCAAAUUCUGGACGAAUCUAGCUUCCUAAUUAAACAAAUUAAGAUGCUGGACUCAUUGAAUUAAUUUCAUUGUUUUCAGAGAACCUUGACAACUGCAUAGAUUAUUUUUAAAGACAAUUAAGCAUCUUUAAUGAUGCAGAUUUAUUAUUUGUGCGAAUGCAUUAAUAACAAUUCUAUUAAGCUGAUGCUUCAAUUUUUGAAGUUAUUGGUCAAGCUACAAAGGGCUCACGGAGGAUACCUAGGC